rnacentral:rRNA from 1 species
GCUGACUGGUGGGUGGCAGAGGGGGUAAUGAGGGGGUUGCAUGGUGUAACCGUAUUUACUGGGCGUAAAGCUCGCGUAGGUGGUGCAGUAGGAUGGGUGUGUAAUCCCCGGGCUUAACCUGGGAACUGAUUUCAUAACUGCUGAGCUAGAGUACGGUAGAGGGUAGUGGAAUUUCCUGUGUAGCGGUGAAAUGCGUAGAUAUAGGAAGGAACACCAGUGGCGAAGGCGACUACCUGGACUGAUACUGACACUGGGGUGCGAAAGCGUGGGGAGCAAACAGGAUUAGAUACCCCGGUAGUC